UACGUAGGGUGCGAGCGUUAAUCGGAAUUACUGGGCGUAAAGCGUGCGUAGACGGUUCGUUAAGUUCGUUGUGAAAGCCCCGGGCUCAACCUGGGAAUGGCAAUGGAAACUGGCGGGCUGGAGUAUGGCAGAGGGGGUGGAAUUCCGCGUGUAGCAGUGAAAUGCGUAGAGAUGCGGAGGAACACCGAUGGCGAAGGCAGCCCCCUGGGCCAAUACUGACGCUCAGGCACGAAAGCGUGGGGAGCAAACAGG
rnacentral:rRNA from 1 species